GAUGAAGAACGUAGCGAAAUGCGAUAAGUAAUGUGAAUUGCAGAAUUCCGUGAAUCAUCGAAUCUUUGAACGCAUAUUGCGCCCUCUGGUAUUCCGGAGGGCAUGCCUGUCCGAGCGUCAUUUCAACCCCUUCAAGCCCGGCUUGUGUAAUGGGCUUUAGCACCUGCUCUAGGGUAGGUGAGCCUGAAAGAUAGUGGCAGCGUAGUGCGAUCAGUUGCAGUGUAUGGGGACCUUUGUCACACACUGGCAGCGCGUACCCACGCUUGUCCCCCCCUUGUCUUUGUGGUUUGACCUCGGAUCAGGUAGGGAUACCCGCUGAACUUAAGCAUAUCAAUAAGCGGAGGA
rnacentral:misc_RNA from 1 species